rnacentral:rRNA from 1 species
UACGAGUGCCUCGAGCGUUAUCCGGAAUCAUUGGGCGUAAAGGGUGUGUAGGCGGCCUUGUUAGUCUCGCGUAAAAUCCUUCGGCUCAACCGAGGGCUCGCGUGGGAACGGCAAGGCUAAGAGGAUGGUGAGGGGUCUCUGGAACUCUAGGUGUAGCGGUGAAAUGCGUUGAUAUCUAGGGAACACCAAAAGCGAAGGCAAGAGACUGGACCACUCCUGACGCUGAAACACGAAAGCGUGGGUCGCGAAUGGGA